GAUGAACGCUGGCGGCGUACCUAAUACAUGCAAGUCGAGCGAACAGACGAGGAGCUUGCUCCUCUGACGUUAGCGGCGGACGGGUGAGUAACACGUGGAUAACCUACCUAUAAGACUGGGAUAACUUCGGGAAACCGGAGCUAAUACCGGAUAAUAUAUUGAACCGCAUGGUUCAAUAGUGAAAGACGGUUUUGCUGUCACUUAUAGAUGGAUCCGCGCCGCAUUAGCUAGUUGGUAAGGUAACGGCUUACCAAGGCAACGAUGCGUAGCCGACCUGAGAGGGUGGACCGCCACCAUGGGAGCGGAGCCAGGGCCAAGACCCCUCGGGGAGGAGCCAGUGGGGAUCUUCCGCCAAGGGGCAAAGUCUGGAGGGACCACCCCCGGGGGAGGAAGAAAGUUUUUCGUAUCUAAAACCUUUUUUAUGGGGAAAAAAAAAAUGUAUAAGAAACUAUGCCCGUCUUGACGUCACCUAAUCAGAAACCCCCGGCUAACUCCGUC
rnacentral:rRNA from 1 species